CAAUAGCGUAUAUUUAAGUUGUUGCAGUUAAAAAGCUCGUAGUCGGAUUUUGGCUGAGAACGAUCGGUCCGCCGUUAGGUGUGCACUGAUUGGUCUCAGCUUCCUGGUGAGGAGGUGUGCUUCACGGCCACUUAGUCACCGUGGUUACUUUGAAAAAAUUAGAGUGUUCAAAGCGGGCUUACGCUUGAAUAUAUUAGCAUGGAAUAACACCAUAGGACUCCUGUCCUAUUUCGUUGGUCUCGGGACGGGAGUAAUGAUUAAGAGGAACAGUUGGGGGCAUUCGUAUUUCGUUGUCAGAGGUGAAAUUCUUGGAUUUAUGAAGACGAACUUCUGCGAAAGCAUUUGCCAAGGAUGUUUUCAUUAA
rnacentral:rRNA from 1 species